UGGACACCGGCGAAAGGGCUAGUAAUGGUAUCGAACGUACCCCGAGGUCGAGGAUAGCUGGGGGAAACUCCAGGUAAUACUCGAUAAGCUCUACGGAGGAAAGCUCCGGCGCCUUGGGAGCGGCGAUAUUCCUAUCAGGUUGUUGGUGAGGUAACGGCUCACCAAGCCAAAGACGGGUAGCGGGUGUGAGAGCAUGACCCGCAGCAUCGGGACUGAGACACUGCCCGGACUCCUACGGGAGGCUGCAGUAACGAAUCUUCCGCAAUGCGCGAAAGCGUGACGGAGCAAUGCCGCGUGUGGGAUGAAGCGGUUACGCCGUGUAAACCACUGUCAGGUCCUAGGAAGAACUGACCGGGACCAGAGGAAGGGUCGGCUAAUCUCGUGCCAGCAGCCGCGGUAAGACGAGAGACCCGAGCGUUAAUCGGAAUCACUGGGCUUAAAGGGUGCGCAGGCGGAUCUGUAAGCGUCUUGUGAAAUCCCACGGCUCAACCGUGGAAUUGCAGGGCGAACUGCAGAUCUUGAGGCAGGUAGAGGUCGUCGGAACGUUCGGUGGAGCGGUGAAAUGCGUAGAUAUCGAACGGAACGCCGAAUGAGAAGUCAGACGACUGGGCCUGUCCUGACGCUCAGGCACGAAAGCGUGGGGAUCAAAC
rnacentral:rRNA from 1 species